GAUUUUAAGCAAGCAUUUGAAAUGACGUGAGGCAAGCUGAGGAAGGGUGUGGGGGCCAGCUGAAUUUUACAUCCUUCUCUUAGCUACCUUUCCUGCUGUACAACCUGGAGCUGGUGCAGCAAUUUGCAGUCAUUUUCUUUCUCCCACCCACUAAAUACCAAAUUGAUUCAAGUCAUGCUGCUUACCUGCAACACCCAUUUGCUGGGAGAAUGCUACAGUAUUAAUUGUCAAGUGCAUUUUCCCUUCACACAUCUGGCCUCCAACCCCUAAAUGCUGGCUGAAUUGCAAUUAUCUUCUUUUCUCCGUAAGUUGCCUUUGGGUCUCUUUUUUGAAAGAGAGACAGAGAAAGAAAUCCCCUCAAGCAAAUUGCUGUGUCAGGUUAAUUCCUGUCAUCAUCUGUAUGCUUCCCAAUUGCCAGCUACUUAUAUGUCUUAGGGAGUGAUGCUUUCAACUGUCUAGUAAGCAGGACUUCAGCAGAUGAAUUCUCUCUCUGGCCUGAAGUUAAAACUUUUAGGCAGAUAUAAUCCCACACCAUCCACCCAAUUUGGCAAAGGCAAUACUAAUUAAUACUCUGUCACCUCACUUUUUCAGCUGCAUUAAAAAUGUCUCAGUUUCUUCCUUCCACUGUCCCUUUUUAUCCUCAGGGCCCGUCCUGAUAGUACAGUAGAGUCUCACUUAUCCAACAUAAACGGGCCGGCAGAACUUUGAAUAAGCGAAUGUGUUGGAUAAUAAGGAGAGAUUAAGGAGAAGCCUAUUAAACACCAAAUUAGGUUAUGGUUUUACAAAUUAAGCACCAAACCAUCAUGUUAUACAACAAAUUUGACAGAAAAAGUAGUUCAAUAUGCAGUAAUGCUACAUAGUAAUUACUGUAUUUAUGAAUUUAGCACCAAAAUAUCACAAUGUAUUGAAAACAUUGACUACAAAAAUGUGUUGGAUAAUCCAGAACGUUGGAUAAGUGAAUGUUGGAUAAAUGAGACUCUACCGUACCUUUAUCCCAGGAGCUCCCGCAGCAACCAGGCGGGUGGCCAGACACCGUUCCCUGUAAACCCAGAAGCAAUCGCUACAAAAGGCAAAAAACAUGAGAUUUCUAGUUGCAGGAAUAUCACGGUUUUUAGCCAAAUAUCCAGAUAUUCGCAUGUCUGUAUGUCCCUGCAAUUGGAAAUCAUAGAUUUUUUUAUCUGGGAUUGUUCCUGGGUUUUAAAUAUUUGUUCCUGAUUGGUCAGUUCCUAAAAAGAAGGUGACACUUGACUAGAAGGCAAAAACUUCAUCCUGGGAAGAAGAACUUUGUCCUUCAUGUGUUUAAUGAAGUUUGUGGCAGAAAAAUGAAGUUCCUGGGGAUCAACAAGUAUUUUCACAUUAAAUAGUACACAAUGAAACAGGAACAGACACUUUCAAACCAGGAACAGAAUACCACCAUUACUAUAAUUACUUAGACCUUGUUGUAUGGCCAUCUGUGCAGACAAGUUUUGUGGUAUACUUGUGCUAGGGAACAAUAGGAUGAUGUUGCCGGGUUAUACAUGUUGGUUUCUCAUUGGGUGUAUGCUGACAACAUGGGUACAGUUUAGUAAAUGGCAAAAACUUAGUACUGGCUGUUGGGACAUUGACAUACUGGAGAGAAAUGUAAAUACUGAUAGCCAAGGUCAUACAGGUGGCUAAUAGAAACAGUCAUGUAUAACCCAGGAACGGCACCCUAUUGUUCGAUGCCAAAAGUCCACAACCAAAUCUGUCUGGACAGAUGGCCAGGCAGCCAGGCUCUAAAAAGUGUCAAUAAUGACAAAGUUCUGUUCCUGGCUUGAAAGCAUGUGUUCCUGUUUCAUUGUGUACUGCUGACUUGAGCAGUAGUGACCCUAUGCCAUUGGGUCUGUUAGUGUGGCAGAUACUUCAUGAAAUGUCUGGAGGGCACCAUUUCUCUGGCCAGGACAGAGAACUGAAAUUUUGCAGCGAUCCGCAUAUCCGAAUCUCCACAUAUCUGCAUCUUACCAGUUUUUUAAAUAAAAAAAAAACUGCCAAGGUCUCCGGUGGAAGUCCCGUGGCAGCCAUCUUGGGAGCCUCAAAAUUUCAGAACAAGGCAGCAAGUCUGGACAAUUGAGGCAGAAAACCCAGGACUAACAGGUCUGUAUGUGGACCUCUUCUGAAGUCCUGGGAUCUUUUUCCUGGGAUUUUUAAAACCCGUGAUUUAGUGCUGUCUGGAAGCACCCUCAUAGCACUUCUACAUAGACACUACAAUGCAGUUUGAAGCCAGCUUGAGAGCAGAACAAAAUGCACACCUGCAAUGCAUGCUGCAGUGUGCAUCAAACCAGAAGCAGCACAUUUUUGAAAACUCACCAGAACGUCCAGAAUAAGCCAAUUAAUGCAUUGCAGCUGACCAGAGUGUAUCCCAUGCAGGACCCAAAAACAGAACAAGAAAAUGUGGAGCACUUUUCAGGACAUCCCUAGCACUGGAGAACUUUUUAAAAAUCUGAAACACAACUGGCCAGAAGCCUAAGGAAGGGAGGAAGGAGAAGCCAAAGGAAGAGAAAAGGAGCCCAAGCGGCAACGGGAGGAGAAGGAGGUGAUUUAUCAACACACGAUUGGUUAAUAAAGACUUAAAAUAGUGUAUAACUACUACAAUAAUGUAUAACUAUUAAAAUAAAUAUAGUGUC